ACGAACGCUGGCGGCGUGCUUAACACAUGCAAGUCGAACGGAAAGGCCCUGCUUGCAGGGUACUCGAGUGGCGAACGGGUGAGUAACACGUGGGUGAUCUGCCCUGCACUUCGGGAUAAGCCUGGGAAACUGGGUCUAAUACCGGAUAGGAGCCAUUUUUAGUGUGAUGGUUGGAAAGUUUUUUCGGUGUAGGAUGAGCUCGCGGCCUAUCAGCUUGUUGGUGGGGUAAUGGCCUACCAAGGCGGCGACGGGUAGCCGGCCUGAGAGGGUGGACGGCCACAUUGGGACUGAGAUACGGCCCAGACUCCUACGGAAGGCAGCAGUGGGGAAUAUUGCACAAUGGGCGCAAGCCUGAUGCAGCGACGCCGCGUGGGGGAUGACGGCCUUCGGGUUGUAAACUCCUUUCGCUAGGGACGAAGCUUUUUGUGACGGUACCUAGAUAAGAAGCACCGGCUAACUACGUG
rnacentral:rRNA from 1 species